UAGGGAAUCUUCCGCAAUGGACGAAAGUCUGACGGAGCAACGCCGCGUGGGUGAAGAAGGAUUUCGGUUCGUAAAACUCUGUUGUUAGGGAAGAAAAAAUGUAUAGUAACUAUAUACAAAAGAGACGGUACCUAACCAGAAAGCCACGGCUAACUACGUGCCAGCAGCCGCGGUAAUACGUAGGUGGCAAGCGUUGUCCGGAAUUAUUGGGCGUAAAGCGCGCGCAGGUGGUUUAGAAAGUCUGAUGUGAAAGCCCACGGCUCAACCGUGGAGGGUCAUUGGAAACUAAUAAACUUGAGUGCAGGAGAGAAAAGUGGAAUUCCUAGUGUAGCGGUGAAAUGCGUAGAGAUUAGGAGGAACACCGGUGGCGAAAGCGGCUUUUUGGCCUGCAACUGACACUGAGGCGCGAAAGCGUGGGGAGCAAACAGG
rnacentral:rRNA from 1 species